rnacentral:rRNA from 1 species
GACGAACGCUGGCGGCGUGCUUAACACAUGCAAGUCGAACGGAAAGGCCCUGCUUGCAGGGUACUCGAGUGGCGAACGGGUGAGUAACACGUGGGUGAUCUGCCCUGCACUUCGGGAUAAGCCUGGGAAACUGUGUCUAAUACCGGAUAGGAGCCAUUUUUAGUGUGAUGGUUGGAAAGUUUUUUCGGUGUAGGAUGAGCUCGCGGCCUAUCAGCUUGUUGGUGGGGUAAUGGCCUACCAAGGCGGCGAUGGGUAGCCGGCCUGAGAGGGUGGACGGCCACGUUGGGACUGAGAGAAGGCCCAGACUCCUACGGGAGGCAGCAGUGGGGAAGAUUGCACAAUGGGCGCAAGCCUGAUGCAGCGACGCCGCGGGGGGGAUGACGGCCUUCGGGUUGUAAACUCCUUUCGCUAGGGACGAAGCUUUUUGUGACGGUACCUAGAUAAGAAGCACCGGCUAACUACGUG